rnacentral:rRNA from 1 species
UCACGCACUCCUACGGGAGGCAGCAGUGGGGAAUAUUGCACAAUGGGCGCAAGCCUGAUGCAGCCAUGCCGCGUGUAUGAAGAAGGCCUUCGGGUUGUAAAGUACUUUCAGCAGUGAGGAAGGUGGGUAUGUUAAUAGCAUAUUCAUUUGACGUUAGCUGCAGAAGAAGCACCGGCUAACUCCGUGCCAGCAGCCGCGGUAAUACGGAGGGUGCGAGCGUUAAUCGGAAUUACUGGGCGUAAAGCGCAUGCAGGUGGUUUGUUAAGUCAGAUGUGAAAGCCCGGGGCUCAACCUCGGAAUUGCAUUUGAAACUGGCAAACUAGAGUACUGUAGAGGGGGUAGAAUUUCAGGUGUAGCGGUGAAAUGCGUAGAGAUCUGAAGGAAUACCGGUGGCGAAGGCGGCCCCCUGGACAGAUACUGACACUCAGAUGCGAAAGCGUGGGGAGCAAACAGGAUUAGAUACCCUGGUAG